GACGAACGCUGGCGGCGUGCUUAACACAUGCAAGUCGAACGGUAAGGCCCUUCGGGGUACACGAGUGGCGAACGGGUGAGUAACACGUGGGUGAUCUGCCCUGCACUUCGGGAUGAGCCUGGGAAACUGGGUCUAAUACCGGAUAGGACCACUGCCUGCAUGGGUGGUGGUGGAAAGCUUUUGCGGUGUGGGAUGGGCCCGCGGCCUAUCAGCUUGUUGGUGGGGUGAUGGCCUACCAAGGCGACGACGGGUAGCCGGCCUGAGAGGGUGACCGGCCACACUGGGACUGAGAUACGGCCCAGACUCCUACGGGAGGCAGCAGUGGGGAAUAUUGCACAAUGGGCGCAAGCCUGAUGCAGCGACGCCGCGUGAGGGAUGACGGCCUUCGGGUUGUAAACCUCUUUCAGCACCGACGAAGCGCGAGUGACGGUAGGUGCAGAAGAAGGACCGGCCAACUACGUGCCAGCCGCCGCCGUAAGAC
rnacentral:rRNA from 1 species